CCCUUAUCCUUUGUUGCCAGCGGUCCGGCCGGGAACUCAAAGGAGACUGCCAGUGAUAAACUGGAGGAAGGUGGGGAUGACGUCAAGUCAUCAUGGCCCUUACGACCAGGGCUACACACGUGCUACAAUGGCAUAUACAAAGAGAAGCGACCUCGCGAGAGCAAGCGGACCUCAUAAAGUAUGUCGUAGUCCGGAUUGGAGUCUGCAACUCGACUCCAUGAAGUCGGAAUCGCUAGUAAUCGUAGAUCAGAAUGCUACGGUGAAUACGUUCCCGGGCCUUGUACACACCGCCCGUCACACCAUGGGAGUGGGUUGCAAAAGAAGUAGGUAGCUUAACCUUCGGGAGGGCGCUUACCACUUUGUGAUUCAUGACUGGGGUGAAGUCGUAACAAGGUAACCGUAGGGGAACCUGCGGUUGGAUCACCUCCUUACCUUAAAGAA
rnacentral:rRNA from 1 species